rnacentral:sRNA from 1 species
UUUGCGCUAACGAUGGAAGCGGCAUCCUUUUUCUUUAGAUUUGGAAAAUGCUUUGGAAAGAAAAAGAUAUAGCGGACAGCGUGUUAAAGC